rnacentral:rRNA from 1 species
UGGCGGACGGGUGAGUAACGCGUGGGUAACCUGCCCUGUACAGGGGGAUAACAGUCAGAAAUGACUGCUAAUACCGCAUAAGACCACAGCACCGCAUGGUGCAGGGGUAAAAACUCCGGUGGUACAGGAUGGACCCGCGUCUGAUUAGCUGGUUGGCAGGGUAACGGCCUACCAAGGCAACGAUCAGUAGCCGGUCUGAGAGGAUGAACGGCCACAUUGGAACUGAGACACGGUCCAAACUCCUACGGGAGGCAGCAUG